rnacentral:lncRNA from 1 species
GCUGGGAAGGGUUGAGCGAAGUCUGCGGCUCAUCAACAGCUGGGCUGGUGAUUUGAAAUUGUCAACUGGAGUGUUGCGGUAUUCAAGGAGACUGAGGAAUCUCUGUUUGCCAGAGACCACUGCCACACUAUGGGGUCUCUCCAGCCCUAUCCAGGCUGAUCCAAUAUAACCACUGUCUACAGUGUUGAUCUGUCUGUUCAUAUCCUCCAUGUUGUCUACGGUGGCCAGGACACCUACACCACCCGAUGUCACAGGAAGGCCAAAAAGAUCAUCAAGGACAACAACCACCCGAGCCACUGCCUGUUCACCCCGCUAUCAUCCAGAAGGCGAGGUCAGUACAGGUGCAUCAAAGCUGGGACCGAGAGUCUGAGAAACAGCUUCUAUCUCAAGGCCAUCAGACUGUUAAACAGCCAUCACUAACACUGAGUGGCUGCUGCCAACAUACUGACUCAAAUCUCUGGCCACUUUAAUAAUUAAAAAUUGGAUGUAAUAAAUGUAUCACUAGCCACUUUAAACAAUGCCACUUUAUAUAAUGUUUACAUACCCUACAUUACUCAUCUCAUGGUACUCUACACCAUCUACUGCAUCUUGCCUAUGUCGUUCGGCCAUCGCUCAUCCAUAUAUUUAUAUGUACAUAUUCUUAUUCAUUCCUUUACACUUGUGUGUAUAAGGUAGUUGUUGUGAAAUUGUUAGAUUACUUGUUAGAUUUUACUGCAUGGUCGAACUAGAAGGACAAGCAUUUCGCUACACUCGCAUUAACAUCUGCUAACCAUGUGUAUGUGACAAAUAUAAUUUGAUUUGAU